rnacentral:rRNA from 1 species
CGGACGGGUGAGUAAUGUCUGGGAAACUGCCCGAUGGAGGGGGAUAACUACUGGAACGGUAGCUAAUACCGCAUAACGUCGCAAGACCAAAGAGGGGGACCUUAGGGCCUCUUGCCAUCGGAUGUGCCCAGAUGGGAUUAGCUAGUAGGUGGGGUAAUGGCUCACCUAGGCGACGAUCCCUAGCUGGUCUGAGAGGAUGACCAGCCACACUGGAACUGAGACACGGUCCAG